UACAGAGGGGGCAAGCGUUGUUCGGAAUUACUGGGCGUAAAGGGCGCGUAGGCGGCCUGUUAAGUCGAACGUGAAAUCCCUGGGCUCAACCCAGGAACGGCGUCCGAUACUGGCAGGCUUGAAUCCGGGAGAGGGAUGUGGAAUUCCAGGUGUAGCGGUGAAAUGCGUAGAUAUCUGGAGGAACACCGGUGGCGAAGGCGGCAUCCUGGGCCGGUAUUGACGCUGAGGCGCGAAAGCCAGGGGAGCAAACGGG
rnacentral:rRNA from 1 species